UACGGGGGGAGCAAGCGUUGUUCGGAUUUACUGGGCGUAAAGGGCGCGUAGGCGGCGUGACAAGUCACUUGUGAAAUCUCCGGGCUUAACCCGGAGCGGCCAAGUGAUACUGUCGUGCUAGAGUGCGGAAGGGGCUACUGGAAUUCUCGGUGUAGCGGUGAAAUGCGUAGAUAUCGUAAGGAAGACCAGUGGCGAAGGCGGCUCACUGGCCCGGUACUGACGCUGAGGUGCGAAAGCGUGGGGAGCAAACAGG
rnacentral:rRNA from 1 species